rnacentral:tRNA from 2 species
AGCCCCAGCUCAUGAACUGCAAAUUCAAAUAAGCACCAUAAAGGUGCCGGGGCU